rnacentral:rRNA from 1 species
UACGAAGGGGGCAAGCGUUGUUCGGAAUUAUUGGGCGUAAAGGGUGCGUAGGCGGUUUGGUAAGUCUGAUGUGAAAUCUAUGGGCUCAACUCAUAGUCUGCAUCGGAAACUGCCGGGCUUGAGUGUGGGAGAGGUGAGUGGAAUUCCUGGUGUAGCGGUGAAAUGCGUAGAUAUCAGGAGGAACACCUGUGGCGAAAGCGGCUCACUGGACCAUAACUGACGCUGAUGCACGAAAGCUAGGGGAGCAAACAGG